UCCUCAGCCCAGCACUCCAGCUCCGAUCGGACGAAGCAAAACGGAGCCACUCCCCGCACGCGGCGGCCCGGUACGCCGGCGGGCAGCGGCCCGACGCACAGGUGCCCCGUGCGGCCGUGCCCCCCUCCUCGUCCGGUGGCCCGACUGGCCGGAGGCUAUGAAGGGGAUCGUGGAUCUACCCGCGGGGGCGGGGGAUUCAAUUCACCGUGACCAGGCGCAGCGGCGGGAUCUCGGGGUGUGCUGUGCUACCCGUGCCGGCGAAUCGAUGGAUGCCGGGGCUAGGGAAACAGCGCCGUCGACGCGCUCCCUCGAGGUGGCCAAUAAUGCUUGUUCAUUGAGGAUAAACAGCAAGGGGCUUGCUCGCAAGAACAGACAAAAAAAAGGGAGUAUUUGCCAUUUGCGUCCACUCAUGCAUUGCGUCUGAGCACCGGCAUGUCUGCUACUCAAAAGUAAAUACUGAAAUUUUACGUUGCAGAUUGCAUUCCACUCUCGUUCGUCCGGGGGGUUACUCAAAAGUCAAAAUUUUCAUUUUUCUUCUUUUCUACGUUGUCCGACCACGUGGUUGACAAAAGUCAAAUGUUCCAGCCUUGAAGGUUUCUUCUGGUUGGUUUAGAAAGGGUCCUGCAACACUGUUUUGUGGACACAAAUGGAGACCGGAUCUGCUUCUGCAUAUGGCCACACAAUUUUGGGUUUCCUUCAAAGUUGGAAUAGAAGCCAGGGAUGUGCUAAGCUGUGCAGACAGUUGGAAUAGCCCCUCCUAUGCAAGUCAUUGUCAGAUAUUCUGAACAUUUUUGGAAUGCAGAAUCCAGAAAGGAUGUGCUGACUGUUCACUUCGGUGUUAGAAUAGACCAAUGCAUGUUGGUUGCUACUGUAUUUGUUUACAUAGAAUAGGAAAUUUAGGUUGCUGAUCCAGUCAUGUAUUGGUCCAGUUAGUCGAUUGUCGUGUAAAAAUAAUAUCAUCGGUAAAUCAUUAAAUCCUCGAGCUCUGUUAACCACUGAGGUAUUUUUCCGGACAAUAAGCAAAUACUAAUGGCAAGGAA